GAUGAACGCUGGCAGCGUGCCUAAUUCAUGCAAGUCGAGAGAAUGGAUUAAGAGCUUGCUCUUAUGAAGUUAGCGGCGGACGUGCGAGUAACACGUCGGUAACCUGCACAUAAGACUUGGAUAACUCCGUUAAACCGAGGCUAAUACCCGAUAUCAUUUUGAACCGCAUGGUUCGAAAUUGAAAGGCGGCUUCGGCGAUCAAUUAUGGAUGGACCUGCGUCGCAUUAGCUAGUUGGUGAGGUAACGGCUCACCAAGGCAACGACGGGUAGCCGACCUGAGAGGGUGAUCGGCCACACUGGGACUGAGACACGGCCCAGACUCCUACGGGAGGCAGCAGUAGGGAAUCUUCCGCAAUGGACGAAAGGCUGACGGAGCAACGCCGCGUGAGUGAUGAAGGCUUUCGGGUCGUAAAACUCUGUUGUUAGGGAAGAACAAGUGCUAGUUGAAUAAGCUGGCACCUUGACGGUACCUAACCAGAAAGCCACGGCUAACUACGUGCCAGCCGCCGCAGUAA
rnacentral:rRNA from 1 species